CAAGCAAGCUGGACAGCCACGCGAGUGGGGCGAAAGGCCCGCACGUGAGGAAAGUCCGGGCUCCACAGGGCAAGGAUAACGGGUAACACCCGCCGGGGGCGACCCCAGGAAAAGGGCAACAGAAAUAGACUGCCUGCCUUUUUGGCAGGCAAAGGUGGAAAGGCGAGGUAAGAGCUCACCCGAUGGCGCGGAAGCGUCCAUCGCUGCAAACUCUAUCCGGAGCAACGCCGUGGGAGAACAAUAGGCCGGCCCGGCCGUUCUCAGGAGGCGGCUGGAGCGCGUCGGCAACGGCGCGUCGAGAUAGAUGGCUGUCUUAAAAGACAGAACCCGGCUUACAGGCUUACUUGCAUA
rnacentral:RNase_P_RNA from 1 species